rnacentral:lncRNA from 1 species
GAGAAAGGAGAAGGGUGAAGGCCGGGCUAGUAGUCGCUGCCCGCUGGGCAGCAUCUGGAGGCCCGUGCGGGAUGCAGGCGAGGGGGAUGGAGCGGCGCCGCUGGAGGAAGUGAGUUCACCCCAGAGGGAAGGGGAGGAAGGAGCCUGGGCCGUGCGCAUUGGCUUCCCAUGGGACCUGCAACUGUCUGGAAACAAAAAAAGAAGCCUACCAAAAGGGGAAAUUUAAAGGAGAGCAAGAAACCAUGAAGAGAGAGCCGAAAACGCGAAAAUGCCGACAAGCCCAAAGGAAAGCGGAGUGUCCUGUGUGCCACAUGGAACUCGGGGAAAGGAAAUGAUUAAAGCCGUGAGGUUUCCUGGCUCUUCGUGGUGUUUACGGUGGGUUUUGAUUUGGGAAGAGAGCAGGAGAGGUUAUGGCCGGUUGCCAUCUGCCAGCGUCCUCAAUCUGCCUGGGCUACAGAUGACAUAGGGGCGGGUGGGCACGUGCGCUCUGUGUGCACAUUCCGAGUGUGUGCAGGAGCGUGUCUCGGAGUGUCUUGUGUGGUGGCCUACCUGGCAAUACAUGCAUGGUUAAAAAGAAGAGAUCUUCCAGCUUCAAGAGGAGGGGUUUCAGGUUCUUUCAGACAUCUGAGGGGCUGCAUCUUUCUAAAGUGCACACGUUUCUUUUUCAAACACUAUUUAAAAAUUUUUGUAAUGUUUCCAGUCUUUGCAUACUGUAAAUGGACAGGAAUAGGACAGAAACCCCAUCAUUAAACACUUACAUUGAUUUAAAUCAAAUUCCACUAAGUGAAAAUGCUUGUUGAAAUUUGGAAAAUAUUUUUUAAUGUAAUAAUGACAUUUGGACAUUGCAACUAUAGACAAUAAUCAUCAAAUCUGAAAUUAAGAUAAAUUUAAUAAAAGUGAUUUUUAAAUGCA